AACGGCAAAACCCAGAAGAAGCCAGGAACGAGUUUCUUCCGCAUACCACGGGACGGCAGGAUGACAGCAUGGAUGCAGUACGCUGGAAGAGACGAUCUUCUGAGUUCUUUGAGCGUCGCUUCUACUAGUGACUGCCACAUGACUGCAGAAGCUGCACUACAAGGUGAGGAUGAGGUUCAGUUUCUUUUUUAAACAUGUUACUGACAAAUCGUUGGUGUUUCGUUUCUUCAGGAUCUGCGGAAGAGGCUUCGAACA